rnacentral:rRNA from 1 species
CCUACGGGAGGCAGCAGUGGGGGAUAUUGCACAAUGGGGGAAACCCUGAUGCAGCGACGCCGCGUGGGCGAAGAAGUAUCUCGGUAUGUAAAGCCCUAUCAGCAGGGAAGAAGAAAUGACGGUACCUGAGUAAGAAGCACCGGCUAAAUACGUGCCAGCAGCCGCGGUAAUACGUAUGGUGCAAGCGUUAUCCGGAUUUACUGGGUGUAAAGGGAGCGCAGGCGGCACGGCAAGCCUGAUGGGAAAGCCCGGGGCCCAACCGCGGGACUGCAUUGGGAACUGCCGGGCUGGAGUGCCGGAGAGGUAGGCGGAAUUCGUAGUGUAGCGGUGAAAUGCGUAGAUAUUAGGAGGAACACCAGUGGCGAAGGCGGCCUACUGGACGGUGACUUACGCUGAGGCUCGAAAGCGUGGGGAGCAAACAGGAUUAGAUACCCCAGUAGUC